AGGGAAGAAGAAGCCGAAGGGAUGGAGCUGGUGCUGUUUGUUCCCUCCGUGGGCAGGAGGCUCCUGCGCUUCCCCGGGGUCGGGUCUCUCCUGCUGGGGUGUCCCUGCUGCUGGGGGUGGCUGUGGGGUGACGGAGCAGGAAGGCAGGCGUGGGCUCUGCUCGGCUGCGGCACAGCCGCUCUCUCUUGCAGGCCUUUAGUCAGAGCAGGAGGUGCCACCCCCACCAGGCUCUCGGUAAAUCCGUGCGCAGCCAAAGCAGUGCCCCUGCCCUUGGUACCUAAGGUGGAGGGAUCUGGGAGAUGGGCAGCACAGCUCAGGCAACUUGGACCCAUCUGGUGGAGGUCAUUUACUGUGAGAGGCCUAUGGACACUAAAGAGAGCUUAACUCAGAAGAGCCAGUGGCUACAAGGAAGCUCCUGUUGAGCCUCUCGGCAGCAUGCCCUGCGCAGAUGGAACCAUGGGGAAAUUGAGAUGAUAAAUCUGUUUCUGUUGAGCAUGCACAAGGCUGUGUCCUCCAAGUCCUGGAAAGGCCCAGACUCUUAAGAGAUUUCUUGGGAUGUAAAAAAAGCUUAUUCAAAAGCUUUCAGAAUCUCAAGUCUCUGCUUGAACAUCUAGAACCCAUAGAAGAAAGCUAGCCACUUGGGGGGGGUUUAAUGUACUCCAAACAUAAUACAGGUAUUUGAAAUAGAUUAAUGUUUUUCAUCUGUAAUUAUUAAUAAAAAGACCCUCAUCUUGAGUUGGUGUAUGCUGUAAAACUUUUUAGUUGAAAUGGUUCAAGAUUAGGGCAAACUUACAAGAAAAUAAAACAAGGUUCUUGUAAUGAGA